rnacentral:rRNA from 1 species
GACGUAACGCUCGGCGGGCGCGCCUAACACAGUGCAAGUCGAACGAGCGAGGAGAGAGUUUAGGCUUUCUCGAGCGAGUGGCGAACGGGUGAGUAACGCGUGAGGAACCUGCCUCAAAGAGGGGGACAACAGUUGGAAACGACUGCUAAUACCGCAUAAGCCCACAGCUCGGCAUCGAGCAGAGGGAAAAGGAGUGAUCCGCUUUGAGAUGGCCUCGCGUCCGAUUAGCUGGUUGGCGGGGUAACGGCCCACCAAGGCGACGAUCAGUAGCCGGACUGAGAGGUUGGCCGGCCACAUUGGGACUGAGACACGGCCCAG